CAACUUUACUAUAUGGACAAUAUCAUUGACUGCUGGAUUAGUUGCUCUAAUCAAGUUCAAUCUCAAAAGCAGGCUAUUCUAUAUCUUUGUUAAGGGCUGCGUUACUCCUUGCAUUUACUUUUGGAGUUGGUCUGAAAGGCGGGAACAAGCGCAUGCAUUUCUUCAACAAGUGAGAAAUAAACUUAAGAAACCUAGAGCUCAGGUUGGAGUUCUACAACCUGGAGUCCAACAACCUAGAGUUCAGGAUGGAGUCCUACACCCUGGAGUUCUACAGCAUGGAGUCCUACACCCUAGAGUUCAGGAGUCAGUCCUACACCCUGGAUUUCAGGCUUGAGUCCUACUCCCUGGAGUUCAGGAGAGAGUCCUACACCCUGGAGUUCAGGAGAGAGUCCUACACCCUGGAGUUCAGGAGAGAGUCCUACACCUUGGAGUUCAGGAGAGAGUCCUACACCCUGAAGUUCAGGAUAGAGUCCUGAACCCUGGAGUACAGGAUGGAGUCCUACACCCUGAAGUUCAGGAUGGAGUCCUACACCCUGGAGUUCAGGAUAGAGUCCUACACCCUGGAGUUCUACAACAUGGAUUACUACACCCUGGAGUUCAUGAUGAAUUCCUACAUCCUGAAGUUCAGGAUGGAGUCAUACACCAUGAAGUUUAGGAUGGAGUCCUUCAUUCUGGAGCUUGAGAUCGAUGGCACUAGUUUACCUUGGAGCAGGGUUCUGAAGCAUACAAGAGCAAUUUAGAUUAUUUAUAAUGUGAGACCACAGACUAGAUUUAGUCAGACUGCUCAUAAGCUCUCACUGGAUAGGCUUUCUUAGCCUAAAGUUGUCCGGCACGCAAUGCUUCAUUUCCACGAAAGGUUUUUUCCUACCAUCUAACGUCCACUUGUUGUAUAGACCCAAUUAGGGGUUAAGUUUUACUAUUUUUAAAGAUGUACUCUGACUAAAAACAUUUAUUCCAUUUUAAGCAACCUUAAUAACCUUGUCUUUGUAUGAUAUUUAACUUCUUCUCACAGUGAACCAUGUAAAUAUAUAUGUGUUUGCCCUUGGGAAAAUAAGUUUUGCGGAUUUUCCACCUCAGUUUCAAACAUUUCUGUACAAUUUAUAUUUAUAAUAAUAUUAUAACUACACUUUUCAUACUUAAUAACUGAGUUUAUUUUGAAGUAGGUAGUCCAUAUUGCAGAAAAUGCAAGCUUGCGUUCAAUUAGAAGAUGGCGAAAGUAAGUGAGCUAUUCUACCUCAGAAGGCAUCCUUCCUUCGAACUCUGCAGCAUCCAUCUUUAAAUAUUUCUUGAAGCCUCAUGCUGUCAUAUAGCUGUCACGACUAUAUUCCUUAAUAUUCUCCUUAGAUCACUAUCGAUAGAUGAAGUCGGAGCAGUCUUGUUCGUGUCCAAGCCAAUUUUUCAAUAUUUUGCGGAUUUUCAAUAGUUUGAUUGCGAAGUUUGUAAAAUGCUAAACAUUUACAUUCUUUCUCAAUUAUAUUUUAUCAUUUACAUAAAAUAAAAUGCUUCAAAUUCUGAAAUGUCAUCUUAUAUAUUUAAAAUGCACCUGGAUAGAUAAUAUCUAAAAACAAGACAGUAUCUAACAACGCAAAAAUAAUAUCAUCGGUUAUUAAUAAUGUUGCUUUAGAAAAAGAACAAAACUACAUAUUUACUAAUAGAGAGAACUCCCUUCGGCAGAACUGAACUUCUCGGGAAUUUACUUUACCCGGUAAAGAUGUCAGUUCUCCCUGGUAAAUAAAAAAUUAAAACAUAGAAUUUAUGGAUUCAGUAUAUUUUUGAAGUUAUAUUCAAUGAAUCCUUAAAUAUCCCUUUAGAUAGAUAUCUUCCAAAUAUCUUCUAAUUUGUCGUGCAUACUCCAGUUGUACACAUGUAAUUGAAAUUGUAAUUGUAAUAGAACCUGCUAUACGUGCGUACUCCA
rnacentral:lncRNA from 1 species